AGUCUGAGUGGACUCUCUUCUGUACCCUUUCUUUGCUCUAUGCGAUAGACUGACAUCUGAGCAGCAGUGUGGUGGUGUCGCUGUGCAGUAGUACAGUCAUAGGUGAUGUUCUAGUAUUUUAGUAGUGUUAAAAAUAAGGAAUAAAAGCGGCCUUGAAAUUGAAGAUUUGGUUAUAGAAAGCAAUGGAGACAGAUACACUACUUGAACCACCUUCUAAAAGGUACAAGACCACACCUGUUGAUGACUUCUACUUCAAGUCUUAUGCAGAUCUCGAUGUACAUGCAGAAAUGAUUUCAGAUUCAGUUAGAACCAACACAUACAGG